GGACCCGUAGCUCAACUGGAUAGAGCGUUGCCCUCCGAAGGCAAAGGUUGGUGGUUCGAAUCCACUCGGGUCCGCCA
rnacentral:tRNA from 1 species